rnacentral:rRNA from 1 species
UCCUACGGGAGGCAGCAGUAGGGAAUUUUCGGCAAUGGGGGGAACCCUGACCGAGCAAUGCCGCGUGAAUGAAGACGAUCUUCGGAUUGUAAAGUUCUGUUGUUGGGAAAGAAAGAUAUGGCGAGGAAAUGCGUUAUAUUUGACGGUACCUGAUGAGAAAGCCCCGGCUAACUAUGUGCCAGCAGCCGCGGUAAUACAUAGGGGGCAAGCGUUAUCCGGAAUUAUUGGGCGUAAAGAGUGCGUAGGCGGAUGAUUAAGUCUGGUGUAAAAUUCCACAGCUUAACUGUGGAGGGUCAUUGGAAACUGGUCAACUAGAGUACGGUAGAGGUAAGCGGAAUUCCAAGUGGAGCGGUAAAAUGCGUAGAUAUUUGGAGGAACACCAGUGGCGAAGGCGACUUACUGGGCCGGGACUGACGCUGAUGCACGAAAGCGUGGGGAGCAAACAGGAUUAGAUACCCUGGUAGUCCACGCCGUAAACGAUGAGCACUAAGUGUCGGAGUAAAAUUCGGUGCUGCAGUUAACACAGUAAGUGCUCCGCCUGGGGAGUACGGUCGCAAGACUGAAACUCAAAGGAAUUG